GCCCAGUCGUAAACAAUCUAUUUACACCAACCAGCGCCAGGGAAUUACGAGCUAUGCUUAAAACCCAAAGGACUUGACGGUUUCCCACCCCCCUAGAGGAGCCUGUUCUAUAAUCGAUGAUCCCCGCUAUACCUAACCACCCCUCGCCAUCAGUCUGUAUACCUCCGUCGAAAGCUUACCAUAUGAAUGCUUCAGUAAGCCCGAUGAUCCCCAUCAACACGUCAGGUCAAGGUGCAGCUUAAUUAGUGGGAAGUGAUGGGCUACAAUUUCUAAGCUAGAACAAACGAAAGACUAGGUGAAACCCUGGUCAUGAAGGCGGAUUUAGUAGUAAAAAGAAAAUAGAGUGUUCUUUUUAACAUGGCUCUGGGACCGGUNNNNNNNNNNNNNNNNNNNNUUCAAUAUUUCGAACUAGUCCCUAACCUUUUACCACACAUCUUAGAAGAUUCAAGUCGUAACAUGGUAAGUGUACUGGAAAGUGCACUUGGUACACAAAAUGUAGCUUAA
rnacentral:rRNA from 1 species